rnacentral:lncRNA from 1 species
GUCGCCGUUUUUGUCAAUUUGUUGAAUAUUCUUCUUAUUUCUUCCAUUGAACCGACUAGACUAUUAUUAGCGUUUGGUUUUGCCAUAUUUUUACAGAGAAGAGAGUGAAACGGAAACGGAAACGGAAACUGAAUUAGCGUUUUGGUUGUAAUGUUCUGUUCGGGUAGAAAUAUAUAUAGAGAGGGAGAGUUCUGGUGGAGCUAAAACGCGGUUUUAACGCGCUGGUUGGUUUGUUUUCCUAAACCUGCCAUUUGUUUACUUUUUACAGUGGGAAUCAUUUGGUGUAACCAGGCGCAGAGUUUAUUUCUUGUUUUUUUUGUUUGUGGGAGAAUAUGAACCGUCUGAUGUAUGGGUUGGCGAAAGGAGGUGCCGAUGGAGGGUAUGACAAAAAGGUAAAAUUAUUUUUCAGUUUUGAAUUUUUUAGUUUUGCUGUAUUGAGU